ACGUAGGUGGCGAGCGUUAUCCGGAAUGAUUGGGCGUAAAGGGUGCGUAGGCGGUACGAUAAGUCUGUAGUAAAAGGCGGCAGCUCAACUGUCGUAGGCUAUGGAAACUGUCGAACUAGAGUGCAGAAGAGGGCGAUGGAACUCCAUGUGUAGCGGUAAAAUGCGUAGAUAUAUGGAAGAACACCAGUGGCGAAGGCGGUCGCCUGGUCUGUAACUGACGCUGAAGCACGAAAGCGUGGGGAGCAAAUAG
rnacentral:rRNA from 1 species